rnacentral:rRNA from 1 species
AGGGUUCGAUUCUGGCUCAGGAUGAACGCUAGCUACAGGCUUAACACAUGCAAGUCGAGGGGCAGCAUGAUCUAGCUGCUAAGAUGAUGGCGACCGGCGCACGGGUGAGUAACGCGUAUCCAACCUUCCCUGUACUAGGGGAUAGCCCGGCGAAAGUCGGAUUAAUACCCUAUGUUUUCCGAAGCGAGCAUUUAAUUUGGAACAAAGGUUUACCGGUAUAGGAUGGGGAUGCGUCUGAUUAGAUAGUAGGCGGGGUAACGGCCCACCUAGUCGACGAUCAGUAGGGGUUCUGAGAGGAAGGUCCCCCACAUUGGAACUGAGACACGGUCCAAACUCCUACGGGAGGCAGCAGUGAGGAAUAUUGGUCAAUGGGCGAGAGCCUGAACCAGCCAAGUAGCCGUGCAGGAUGACGGCCCUAUGGGUUGUAAACUGCUUUUAUAUAGGGAUAAAGUGAGGGACGUGUCCCUUAUUGUAGGUACUAUAUGAAUAAGGACCGGCUAAUUCCGUGCCAGCCGCGGC